rnacentral:rRNA from 1 species
CGGAGGGUGCAAGCGUUAUCCGGAUUCACUGGGGUUUAAAGGGUGCGUAGGCGGGUUGGUAAGUCCGUGGUGAAAUCUCCGAGCUUAACUCGGAAACUGCCGUGGAUACUAUCAAUCUUGAAUAUCGUGGAGGUAAGCGGAAUAUGUCAUGUAGCGGUGAAAUGCUUAGAUAUGACAUAGAACACCAAUUGCGUAGGCAGCUUACUACACGAUCAUUGACGCUGAGGCACGAAAGCGUGGGGAGCAAACAGGAUUAGAUACCCUGGUAGUCCACGCCCUAAACGAUGGAUACUCGACAUCAGCGAUACACUGUUGGUGUCUGAGCGAAAGCAUUAAGUAUCCCACCUGGGAAGUACGAUCGCAAGAUUG